GAUGAACGCUGGCGGCGUGCCUAAUACAUGCAAGUCGAACGGAAAGGCCUCUUCGGAGGUACUCGAGUGGCGGACGGCUGAGUAACGCGUAGGAAUGUACCCCAAAGUGAGGAAUAACCUCGAGAAAUCGAGGCUAAUACCGCAUGUGCUCUAAGGAGUAAAGCUUCGGCGCUUUGGGAACAGCCUGCGUAAGAUUAGCUUGUUGGUGAGGUAAUGGCUCACCAAGGCGACGAUCUUUAGCUGGUCUGAGAGGAUGAUCAGCCAGACUGGGACUGAGACACGGCCCAGACUCCUACGGGAGGCAGCAGUAGGGAAUUUUCCACAAUGGACGAAAGUCUGAUGGAGCAACGCCGCGUGCAGGAUGAAGGCCCUUGGGUUGUAAACCGCUUUUAUAUGUGAAGAUAAUGACGGUAGCAUAUGAAUAAGGAUCGGCUAACUCCGUGCCAGCCGCCGCAGUAA
rnacentral:rRNA from 1 species